AGAGUUUGAUCCUGGCUCAGAAUCAACGCUGGCGGCGCGCCUAACACAUGCAAGUCGAACGAGAAAGGGGAGCAAUCCCUGAGUACAGUGGCGUACGGGUGAGUAACACGUGGGUAAUCUGCCCUUUGGUGGGGAAUAACCCUGGGAAACCGGGGCUAAUACCGCAUAAGUCCGAGAGGAGAAAGCAGCAAUGCGCCGAA
rnacentral:rRNA from 1 species